rnacentral:misc_RNA from 1 species
CCAAACUUGGUCAUUUAGAGGAAGUAAAAGUCGUAACAAGGUUUCCGUAGGUGAACCUGCGGAAGGAUCAUUAGCGUGAACAGAGCUAUUCAAUUCUCUGAACACCUCUGCGUAUUGGUAGUCGUUGCUUCCACGGAUUCGCAGGCUGCUCGGCGGUCUGCUUGAUCAACCGAUAAAGGUAUGGUCCGCCGUGGAAGGUUUACAACAGAAUUCAUUGUAGUUUGCUUCCGUCCGAAUGUAAGGUGAUGAAUAAUUCAAGUUCAAAACUUUCAACAACGGAUCUCUUGGUUCUCGCAUCGAUGAAGAACGCAGC